rnacentral:tRNA from 1 species
GAGACAUUAGUAUAACAAUUAUAUAACUUUGUCAAAGUUAAGAUAUAAAAUAAUAUUUAUAUGUCUCU